UACGUAGGAGGCGAGCGUUGUCCGGAGUUACUGGGCGUAAAGCGUGCGCAGGCGGCUUUGCAAGACAGAUGUGAAAUCCCCGGGCUUAACCUGGGAACUGCAUUUGUGACUGCAUGGCUGGAGUGCGGCAGAGGGGGAUGGAAUUCCGCGUGUAGCAGUGAAAUGCGUAGAUAUGCGGAGGGACACCGAUGGCGAAGGCAAUCCCCUGGGCCUGCACUGACGCUCAUGCACGAAAGCGUGGGGAGCAAACAGG
rnacentral:rRNA from 1 species